rnacentral:rRNA from 1 species
GACGAACGCUGGCGGCGUGCUUAACACAUGCAAGUCGAACGGAAAGGCCCUGCUUUUGUGGGGUGCUCGAGUGGCGAACGGGUGAGUAACACGUGAGUAACCUGCCCUUGACUUUGGGAUAACUUCAGGAAACUGGGGCUAAUACCGGAUAGGAGCUCCUGCUGCAUGGUGGGGGUUGAAAAGUUUCGGCGGUUGGGGAUGGACUCGCGGCUUAUCAGCUUGUUGGUGGGGUAGUGGCUUACCAAGGCUUUGACGGGUAGCCGGCCUGAGAGGGUGACCGGCCACAUUGGGACUGAGAUACGGCCCAGACUCCUACGGGAGGCAGCAGUGGGGAAUAUUGCACAAUGGGCGGAAGCCUGAUGCAGCAACGCCGCGUGCGGGAUGACGGCCUUCGGGUUGUAAACCGCUUUCGCCUGUGACGAAGCGUGAGUGACGGUAAUGGGUAAAGAAGCACCGGCUAACUACGUGCCAGCAGCCGCGGUGAUACGUAGGGUGCGAGCGUUGUCCGGAUUUAUUGGGCGUAAAGGGCUCGUAGGUGGUUGAUCGCGUCGGAAGUGUAAUCUUGGGGCUUAACCCUGAGCGUGCUUUCGAUACGGGUUGACUUGAGGAAGGUAGGGGAGAAUGGAAUUCCUGGUGGAGCGGUGGAAUGCGCAGAUAUCAGGAGGAACACCAGUGGCGAAGGCGGUUCUCUGGGCCUUUCCUGACGCUGAGGAGCGAAAGCGUGGGGAGCGAACAGGCUUAGAUACCCUGGUAGUCCACGCUGUAAACGGUGGGUACUAGGUGUGGGGUCCAUUCCACGGGUUCCGUGCCGUAGCUAACGCUUUAAGUACCCCGCCUGGGGAGUACGGCCGCAAGGCUAAAACUCAAAGGAAUUGACGGGGCCCCGCACAAGCGGCGGAGCAUGCGGAUUAAUUCGAUGCAACGCGUAGAACCUUACCUGGGUUUGACAUGGAUCGGGAGUGCUCAGAGAUGGGUGUGCCUCUUUUGGGGUCGGUUCACAGGUGGUGCAUGCCUGUCGUCAGCUCGUGUCGUGAGAUGUUGGGUUAAGUCCCGCAACGAGCGCAACCCUUGUUCACUGUUGCCAGCACGUUAUGGUGGGGACUCAGUGGAGACCGCCGGGGUCAACUCGGAGGAAGGUGGGGAUGACGUCAAGUCCUCAUGCCCCUUAUGUCCAGGGCUUCACGCAUGCUACAAUGGCUGGUACAGAGAGUGGCGAGCCUGUGAGGGUGAGCGAAUCUCGGAAAGCCGGUCUCAGUUCGGAUUGGGGUCUGCAACUCGACCUCAUGAAGUCGGAGUCGCUAGUAAUCGCAGAUCAGCAACGCUGCGGUGAAAACGUUCCCGGG